GCUGGAGAAAACAUCGACGAUACAUCGAUUUAUCGAUGUUUUCAAAACAUCGUAAACAUCGAGAUUUUAAAACAUCGAUGUUCGAUGUUUCCGCUUUUCCCAUCACUACUUUGCCGGGAAAGAUCUUGAUUAUUACAGAUUGUGAUUAAUAUUGGUGUUGGCGGCAUUUGGGAUGGAGAAGACAUUGAAAGAGCAGAACAGCAAUGUUGCCGGAAAAGACGAAGAAAACGACGCCGCCGAGGGUAUGCUCUUAAAUAAUAGAAAAAAAUAUGGGACAUCUUCUGUUUGGAAUUAUUUUGACAAAUCGGCUGAUGGCAAGACAGCCAAAUGUAUUAAAUGUGGCAAAACAUAUCAAACAAGUGGGAAUACGACCAACUUGUCUUGCCACAUAAAGAGGAUACAUCCUAAUUUUACUGUAAGUGAUUUGCCACAAAGGCAACAGCCGUCAAUUCUGUCAUUCAUUGACAAAAAAUAUGAAACAUCGUCGAACCGAAAACAAACACUGGACCGUGCCUUAUGCUCCUA